rnacentral:lncRNA from 1 species
GCAGGCACCGCUUCAGUCAUCGCAGGCAACGGCGCGGCGAAAAUCGCCGUCGGCUCCGGAUCCGGAUCGCCGGCGGACCUCCUCCUCUGGCCCCCACCUCCGCCGCCGCUCCGCCCGCCCGUCUACUCCACCGGCAGCUUGCUGACCCAAACGCCCCCCCCCCCCCCAAAAGCCCCCGACGCAGGCACCGCAUCAGUCAUCGCAGGUGGCGGUGCGGCGAAAAUCAGCAUCAGCCUGAUUGCCUUGGACAAAUAUUCUGACAUAUCUCAAGAACAUCUUUUCUGCCUUGACAUAUCACAGAACCAGACCAGGUUGGAUGGGCAUCAGAGCUUUAUGUGCAACAGUAUGUUGAUUGCAAUUGUCAUAAAUAAGAACAACAAAAAAAAAGUCUAA